GACGAACGCUGGCGGCGUGCUUAACACAUGCAAGUCGAACGGAAAGGCCCUGCUUUUGUGGGGUGCUCGAGUGGCGAACGGGUGAGUAACACGUGAGUAACCUGCCCUUGACUUUGGGAUAACUUCAGGAAACUGGGGCUAAUACCGGAUAGGAGCUCCUGCUGCAUGGUGGGGGUUGGAAAGUUUCGGCGGUUGGGGAUGGACUCGCGGCUUAUCAGCUUGUUGGUGGGGUAGUGGCUUACCAAGGCUUUGACGGGUAGCCGGCCUGAGAGGGUGACCGGCCACAUUGGGACUGAGAUACGGCCCAGACUCGUACGGGAGGCAGCAGUGGGGAAUAUUGCACAAUGAGCGGAAGCCUGAUGCAGCAACGCCGCGUGCGGGAUGACGGCCUGCGGGUUGUAAACCGCUUUCGCCUGUGACGAAGCGUGAGUGACGGUAAUGGGUAAAGAAGCACCGGCUAACUACGUG
rnacentral:rRNA from 1 species